UGGGGAAUAUUGCACAAUGGGCGCAAGCCUGAUGCAGCCAUGCCGCGUGUGUGAAGAAGGCCUUCGGGUUGUAAAGCACUUUCAGCGGGGAGGAAGGCGCUAAGGUUAAUAACCUUGUCGAUCGACGUUACCCGCAGAAGACGCACCGGCUAACUCCGUGCAAGCAGCCGCGGUAAUACGGAGGGUGCAAGCGUUAAUCGGAAUUACUGGGCGUAAAGCGCACGCAGGCGGUCUGUCAAGUCGGAUGUGAAAUCCCCGGGCUCAACCUGGGAACUGCAUUCGAAACUUGCAGGCUAGAGUCGUGUAGAGGGGGGUAGAAUUCCGGGUGUAGCGGUGAAAUGCGUAGAGAUCUGGAGGAAUACCGGUGGCGAAGGCGGCCCCCUGGACAAAGACUGACGCUCAGGUGCGAAAGCGUGGGGAGCAAACAGG
rnacentral:rRNA from 1 species